rnacentral:rRNA from 1 species
UACGAAGGGGGCUAGCGUUGUUCGGAAUCACUGGGCGUAAAGGGCGCGUAGGCGGCCAACUAAGUCGGAUGUGAAAUCCCCAGGCUUAACCUGGGAACUGCAUCUGAUACUGGAUGGCUUGAGUUCGGGAGAGGGAUGCGGAAUUCCAGGUGUAGCGGUGAAAUGCGUAGAUAUCUGGAGGAAUACCGGUGGCGAAGGCGGCAUCCUGGACCGAGAUUGACGCUGAUGAGCGAAAGCUAGGGGAGCAAACGGG